CACGCCCUGACCAUAGAGAGCCUUUUUAGUCUCUAUUUUGGUUAGGUUGGGGUGUGACUAGGGUGGGUAAUCUAGUGUGUGCAUUUCUUUGUUGGCCUGGUAUGGUUCCCAAUCAGAGGCAGCUGUUUAGCGUUGUCUCUGAUUGGGGAUCAUAUUUAGGCAGCCAUUUUCCCACUGUGUUUUGUGGGAUCUUAUUUAUGUGUAGUUGCCUGUGAGCACUCCAUAGCUUCAUGUGUUCGUUUGUUCUUUAUUGUUUUUUUGAGAGUUUAAUUUAAUAAACAUGUGGAACCCAGAUCAGGCUGCGCUUUGGUCCGAGUAUGCUUCCAACGACGAUCGUGACACAGCUCUUACACAAAAAGGGCAUUAUCAUAAUUUUCACAAUUUCUGAGUGUUUUUUCGUCCUCAUAGUGUGGAAAUCUCAUAAAAAAGGAGAAAAUCACAUUUUUUAACUGCACUGCCCCUUUGAUGAAGUUCCAGUAGAGUAUCAAUGAUCAGCAGACGACUGAGCAGUACAACGAGGCAGCCAACAAAGCCCAGGCCCAUAUCAAGCUCAGACUGGCAGUGUCUAUCUGUCCCGAGCUCCAGACCUAGGUGUUCUACUGCUCCAGACCUUGGUGUUCCACUGCUCCAGACCUAGGUGUUCUACUGCUCCAGACCUUGGUGUUCCACUGCUCCAGACCUUGGUGUUCCACUGCUCCAGACCUAGGUGUUCCACUGCUCCAGACCUUGGUGUUCCACUGCUCCAGACCUUGGUGUUCCACUGCUCCAGACCUAGGUGUUCUACUGCUCCAGACCUUGGUGUUCCACUGCUCCAGACCUUGGUGUUCCACUGCUCCAGACCUAGGUGUUCCACUGCUCCAGAC
rnacentral:lncRNA from 1 species